rnacentral:rRNA from 1 species
UUGGGUGACGAGUGGCGGACGGGUGAGUAAUGUCUGGGGAUCUGCCCGAUAGAGGGGGAUAACCACUGGAAACGGUGGCUAAUACCGCAUAACGUCGCAAGACCAAAGAGGGGGACCUUCGGGCCUCUCACUAUCGGAUGAACCCAGAUGGGAUUAGCUAGUAGGCGGGGUAAUGGCCCACCUAGGCGACGAUCCCUAGCUGGUCUGAGAGGAUGACCAGCCACACUGGAACUGAGACACGGUCCAGACUCCUACGGGAGGCANCAGUGGGGAAUAUUGCACAAUGGGCGCAAGCCUGAUGCAGCCAUGCCGCGUGUAUGAAGAAGGCCUUCGGGUUGUAAAGU